GAGGCCUUAGCUUAAGUAAAGUGUUUGAGUUGCAUUCAGGUGAUGUGGUAUUAGGCCACAGGUCUU
rnacentral:tRNA from 1 species